rnacentral:rRNA from 1 species
UACGUAGGGGGCAAGCGUUGUCCGGAUUUAUUGGGCGUAAAGAGCGUGUAGGCGGCCAGGUAGGUCAGCUGUGAAAACUCGAGGCUCAACCUCGAGACGUCGGUUGAAACCAUCUGGCUAGAGUCCGGAAGGGGAGAGUGGAAUUCCUGGUGUAGCGGUGAAAUGCGCAGAUAUCAGGAAGAACACCAGUGGCGAAGGCGGCUCUCUGGAACGGUGCUGACGCUGAGACGCGAAAGCGUGGGGAGCGAACCGG